ensembl:snRNA U6 U6 spliceosomal RNA
UGUCACUUGCACUUGACUAAAACUGGAACAAAACAGUGAUUAAUAUGGCCCAGUGCAAAGAUGAUCACGCAAAUUUGUGAAAUGUUCCAUAUUUUU